CCUACGUGUGGCAGCAGUGGGGAAUAUUGCACAAUGGGGGAAACCCUGAUGCAGCGACGCCGCGUGGGUGAAGAAGUAAUUCGGUAUGUAAAGCUCUAUCAGCGGGGAAGAAAAUGACGGUACCAGAGUAAGAAGACCCGGCUAACUACGUGCCAGCAGCCGCGGUAAUACGUAGGGGGCAAGCGUUAUCCGGAUUGACUGGGUGUAAAGGGAGCGUAGACGGCAGUGCAAGUCUGGAGUGAAAGGCGGGGGCUCAACCCCCGGACUGCUCUGGAAACUGUACGGCUGGAGUGCAGGAGAGGUAAGUGGAAUUCCUAGUGUAGCGGUGAAAUGCGUAGAUA
rnacentral:rRNA from 1 species